rnacentral:rRNA from 1 species
GUCCACGCCGUAAACGAUGUCAACUAGCCGUUGGUCCUAUUUACAGGAUUAGUGGCGCAGCUAACGCAUUAAGUUGACCGCCUGGGGAGUACGGCCGCAAGGUUAAAACUCAAAUGAAUUGACGGGGGCCCGCACAAGCGGUGGAGCAUGUGGUUUAAUUCGAUGCAACGCGAAGAACCUUACCUACCCUUGACAUCCAGAGAAUCUGUUAGAGAUAGUGGAGUGCCUUCGGGAACUCUGAGACAGGUGCUGCAUGGCUGUCGU